rnacentral:rRNA from 1 species
UACGUAGGGGCUAGCGUUGUCCGGAAUCAUUGGGCGUAAAGCGCGUGUAGGCGGUCCGGUAAGUCCGCUGUGAAAGUCGAGGGCUCAACCCUCGAAUGCCGGUGGAUACUGUCGGGCUAGAGUACGGAAGAGGCGAGUGGAAUUCCUGGUGUAGCGGUGAAAUGCGCAGAUAUCAGGAGGAACACCAAUUGCGAAGGCAGCUCGCUGGGACGUUACUGACGCUGAGACGCGAAAGCGUGGGGAGCAAACAGG